AAGGCGCGCGAUACAGGGUGACAGCCCCGUACACAAAAAUGCACAUGCUGUGAGCUCGAUGAGUAGGGCGGGACACGUGGUAUCCUGUCUGAAUAUGGGGGGACCAUCCUCCAAGGCUAAAUACUCCUGACUGACCGAUAGUGAACCAGUACCGUGAGGGAAAGGCGAAAAGAACCCCGGCGAGGGGAGUGAAAAAGAACCUGAAACCGUGUACGUACAAGCAGUGGGAGCACAGAGCAAUCUGUGUGACUGCGUACCUUUUGUAUAAUGGGUCAGCGACUUAUAUUCUGUAGCAAGGUUAACCGAAUAGGGGAGCCGAAGGGAAACCGAGUCUUAACCGGGCGUUAAGUUGCAGGGUAUAGACCCGAAACCCGGUGAUCUAGCCAUGGGCAGGUUGAAGGUUGGGUAACACUAACUGGAGGACCGAACCGACUAAUGUUGAAAAAUUAGCGGAUGACUUGUGGCUGGGGGUGAAAGGCCAAUCAAACCGGGAGAUAGCUGGUUCUCCCCGAAAGCUAUUUAGGUAGCGCCUCGUGAAUUCAUCUCCGGGGGUAGAGCACUGUUUCGGCAAGGGGGUCAUCCCGACUUACCAACCCGAUGCAAACUGCGAAUACCGGAGAAUGUUAUCACGGGAGACACACGGCGGGUGCUAACGUCCGUCGUGAAGAGGGAAACAACCCAGACCGCCAGCUAAGGUCCCAAAGUCAUGGUUAAGUGGGAAACGAUGUGGGAAGGCCCAGACAGCCAGGAUGUUGGCUUAGAAGCAGCCAUCAUUUAAAGAAAGCGUAAUAGCUCACUGGUCGAGUCGGCCUGCGCGGAAGAUGUAACGGGGCUAAACCAUGCACCGAAGCUGCGGCAGCGACACUGUGUGUUGUUGGGUAGGGGAGCGUUCUGUAAGCCUGUGAAGGUGUGCUGUGAGGCAUGCUGGAGGUAUCAGAAGUGCGAAUGCUGACAUAAGUAACGAUAAAGCGGGUGAAAAGCCCGCUCGCCGGAAGACCAAGGGUUCCUGUCCAACGUUAAUCGGGGCAGGGUGAGUCGACCCCUAAGGCGAGGCCGAAAGGCGUAGUCGAUGGGAAACAGGUUAAUAUUCCUGUACUUGGUGUUACUGCGAAGGGGGGACGGAGAAGGCUAUGUUGGCCGGGCGACGGUUGUCCCGGUUUAAGCGUGUAGGCUGGUUUUCCAGGCAAAUCCGGAAAAUCAAGGCUGAGGCGUGAUGACGAGGCACUACGGUGCUGAAGCAACAAAUGCCCUGCUUCCAGGAAAAGCCUCUAAGCAUCAGGUAACAUCAAAUCGUACCCCAAACCGACACAGGUGGUCAGGUAGAGAAUACCAAGGCGCUUGAGAGAACUCGGGUGAAGGAACUAGGCAAAAUGGUGCCGUAACUUCGGGAGAAGGCACGCUGAUAUGUAGGUGAAGUCCCUCGCGGAUGGAGCUGAAAUCAGUCGAAGAUACCAGCUGGCUGCAACUGUUUAUUAAAAACACAGCACUGUGCAAACACGAAAGUGGACGUAUACGGUGUGACGCCUGCCCGGUGCCGGAAGGUUAAUUGAUGGGGUCAGCGCAAGCGAAGCUCUUGAUCGAAGCCCCGGUAAACGGCGGCCGUAACUAUAACGGUCCUAAGGUAGCGAAAUUCCUUGUCGGGUAAGUUCCGACCUGCACGAAUGGCGUAAUGAUGGCCAGGCUGUCUCCACCCGAGACUCAGUGAAAUUGAACUCGCUGUGAAGAUGCAGUGUACCCGCGGCAAGACGGAAAGACCCCGUGAACCUUUACUAUAGCUUGACACUGAACAUUGAGCCUUGAUGUGUAGGAUAGGUGGGAGGCUUUGAAGUGUGGACGCCAGUCUGCAUGGAGCCGACCUUGAAAUACCACCCUUUAAUGUUUGAUGUUCUAACGUGGACCCGUGAUCCGGGUUGCGGACAGUGUCUGGUGGGUAGUUUGACUGGGGCGGUCUCCUCCUAAAGAGUAACGGAGGAGCACGAAGGUUGGCUAAUCCUGGUCGGACAUCAGGAGGUUAGUGCAAUGGCAUAAGCCAGCUUGACUGCGAGCGUGACGGCGCGAGCAGGUGCGAAAGCAGGUCAUAGUGAUCCGGUGGUUCUGAAUGGAAGGGCCAUCGCUCAACGGAUAAAAGGUACUCCGGGGAUAACAGGCUGAUACCGCCCAAGAGUUCAUAUCGACGGCGGUGUUUGGCACCUCGAUGUCGGCUCAUCACAUCCUGGGGCUGAAGUAGGUCCCAAGGGUAUGGCUGUUCGCCAUUUAAAGUGGUACGCGAGCUGGGUUUAGAACGUCGUGAGACAGUUCGGUCCCUAUCUGCCGUGGGCGCUGGAGAACUGAGGGGGGCUGCUCCUAGUACGAGAGGACCGGAGUGGACGCAUCACUGGUGUUCGGGUUGUCAUGCCAAUGGCACUGCCCGGUAGCUAAAUGCGGAAGAGAUAAGUGCUGAAAGCAUCUAAGCACGAAACUUGCCCCGAGAUGAGUUCUCCCUGACCCUUUAAGGGUCCUGAAGGAACGUUGAAGACGACGACGUUGAUAGGCCGGGUGUGUAAGCGCAGCGAUGCGUUGAGCUAACCGGUACUAAUGAACCGUGAGGCUUAACCUUACAACGCCGAAGGUGUUU
rnacentral:rRNA from 1 species